GACAGAGGGUGCAAACGUUGUUCGGAAUUACUGGGCGUAAAGCGCGUGUAGGCGGUCUCGCAAGUCGGAUGUGAAAGCCCAGGGCUCAACCCUGGAAGUGCACUCGAUACUGCGAGGCUAGAGUCCCGGAGAGGAUGGUGGAACUCUCGGUGUAGAGGUGAAAUUCGUAGAUAUCGAGAAGAACACCGGUGGCGAAGGCGGCCAUCUGGACGGUGACUGACGCUGAGACGCGAAGGCUAGGGUAGCAAACAGG
rnacentral:rRNA from 1 species